GUGGGAGUAGCUCAGCUGGCAGAGCACCGGGUUGUGGCCCCGGAGGUCGCGGGUUCAAGUCCCGUCUCUCACCCCA
rnacentral:tRNA from 2 species